rnacentral:rRNA from 1 species
CUUGUACACACCGCCCGUCACACCAUGGGAGUGGGUGAACCAGAAGUAGGUAGGCUAACCGCAAGGGGCCGCUUACCACGGUCUGCUUCAUGACUGGGGUG